rnacentral:tmRNA from 1 species
GGACAAACCUUUCCUAUAUAGAAACUGUCCUUCGGGACUAUGGACAUAAACGCGCUCGUCAUAAGCGGAUCGGACCCGGGGGCGGUACCCGGCGACUCCACCAAACAUCCUUCAUUUGGGGAUCAUGGGGUCGAAACAGGAUCGACGAACGUCUAAAGGGGUUAGCUUUGUCUCGGCUGUCUGCCACCGUUAUCGGCGAAAACUGUACAAUUGCAAAUGACAAUCGUGCUCCAGUAGCGAUGGCCGCGUAAGCGGUUUCA